rnacentral:rRNA from 1 species
AUUGAACGCUGGCGGCAUGCUUUACACAUGCAAGUCGAACGGUAACAGGUUAAGCUGACGAGUGGCGAACGGGUGAGUAAUGCAUCGGAACGUGCCCGAUCGUGGGGGAUAACGCAGCGAAAGCUGCGCUAAUACCGCAUACGAUCUGAGGAUGAAAGCGGGGGACCGUAAGGCCUCGCGCGAUCGGAGCGGCCGAUGUCAGAUUAGGUAGUUGGUGGGGUAAAGGCCCACCAAGCCGACGAUCUGUAGCUGGUCUGAGAGGACGACCAGCCACACUGGGACUGAGACACGGCCCAGACUCCUACGGGAGGCAGCAGUGGGGAAUUUGGACAAUGGGCGAAAGCCUGAUCCAGCAAUGCCGCGUGCAGGAAGAAGGCCUUCGGGUUGUAAACUGCUUUUGUACGGAGCGAAAAGGCCCUUUCUAAUACAAGGGGCUCAUGACGGUACCGUAAGAAUAAGCACCGGCUAACUACGUGCCAGCCGCCGCCGUAA